GAUCCCUGGCUCAGGAUGAACGCUAGCGGCAGGCUUAACACAUGCAAGUCGAGGGGCAGCAUAAUGGUAGUAAUACUAUUGAUGGCGACCGGCGGACGGGUGCGUAACGCGUAUGCAACCUACCCUUUACAGGGGGAUAACACUGAGAAAUCGGUACUAAUACCCCAUAAUAUUCUGGGGGGCAUCUUUCGGAGUUGAAAGCUUUGGUGGUAAAGGAUGGGCAUGCGUUGUAUUAGCUAGUUGGUAAGGUAACGG
rnacentral:rRNA from 1 species